rnacentral:rRNA from 1 species
UACGUAGGGGGCGAGCGUUGUCCGGAUUUAUUGGGCGUAAAGAGCUCGUAGGUGGUUCGGUAAGUCGGGUGUGAAACCUCCAGGCUCAACCUGGAGACGCCACCCGAUACUGCUGUGACUGGAGUCCGGUAGGGGAGCGUGGAAUUCCUGGUGUAGCGGUGAAAUGCGCAGAUAUCAGGAGGAACACCAGCGGCGAAGGCGGCGCUCUGGGCCGGUACUGACACUGAGGAGCGAAAGCGUGGAUAGCAAACAGG